CAAAGAUUCUAAGGCGCUUGAGAGAACUCAGGAGAAGGAACUCGGCAAAUUAGCACCGUAACUUCGGGAGAAGGUGCGCCCUUGUAGCGUGAAGGCCCUUGCGGCUGGAGCGUGACGGGGUUGCAGUGAAAUGGUGGCUGCGACUGUUUAAUAAAAACACAGCACUCUGCAAAGGCGAAAGCCGACGUAUAGGGUGUGACGCCUGCCCGGUGCCGGAAGGUUAAGUGAUGGGGUGCAAGCUCUUGAUCGAAGCCCCGGUAAACGGCGGCCGUAACUAUAACGGUCCUAAGGUAGCGAAAUUCCUUGUCGGGUAAGUUCCGACCUGCACGAAUGGCGUAACGAUGGCCACACUGUCUCCUCCUGAGACUCAGCGAAGUUGAAGUGUUUGUGAAGAUGCAAUCUCCCCGCUGCUAGACGGAAAGACCCCAUGCACCUUUACUGUAGCUUUGCAUUGGACUUUGAUGAGACUUGUGUAGGAUAGGUGGGAGGCUUUGAAACCGGGAUGCUAGUUCCGGUGGAGCCGUCCUUGAAAUACCACCCUGGUGUCAUUGAGGUUCUAACCUGGGCCCCUUAACGGGGUCGGGGACCGUGCAUGGCAGGCAGUUUGACUGGGGCGGUCUCCUCCCAAAGGGUAACGGAGGAGUUCGAAGGUUCGCUAGGUACGGUCGGACAUCGUACUGAUAGUGCAUUGGCAAAAGCGAGCUUGACUGCGAGACGGACAUGUCGAGCAGGUGCGAAAGCAGGACAAAGUGAUCCGGUGGUUCUGUAUGGAAGGGCCAUCGCUCAACGGAUAAAAGGUACGCUGGGGAUAACAGGCUGAUGACUCCCAAGAGUUCAUAUCGACGGAGUCGUUUGGCACCUCGAUGUCGGCUCAUCACAUCCUGGGGCUGUAGCCGGUCCCAAGGGUAUGGCUGUUCGCCAUUUAAAGUGGUACGUGAGCUGGGUUUAAAACGUCGUGAGACAGUUUGGUCCCUAUCUGCAGUGGGCGUUGGAGAUUUGACGGGGGCUGCUCCUAGUACGAGAGGACCGGAGUGGACGCACCUCUGGUGUGCCGGUUAUGACGCCAGUCGUAUCGCCGGGUAGCUAUGUGCGGAAGAGAUAACCGCUGAAAGCAUCUAAGCGGGAAACUUGCCUGAAGAUGAGAUCUCCCGGAGGCUUGACCUCCCUGAAGGGUCGUGGAAGACCACCACGUUGAUAGGCCGGGUGUGGAAGCGCAGUAAUGCGUUAAGCUAACCGGUACUAAUUGCCCGUGCGGCUUGAUC
rnacentral:rRNA from 1 species